rnacentral:rRNA from 1 species
GUCUACGGCCAUGUCACCCUGAACGUGUCUGAUCUCGUCUGAUCUCGGAAGCUAAGCAGUGUAGGGCCUGGUUAGUUCUUGGAUGGGAGACCACCUAGGAAUACCAGGUGCUGUAGGCA